rnacentral:rRNA from 1 species
CUACGGGUGGCAGCAGUGAGGAAUAUUGCACAAUGGGGGGAACCCUGAUGCAGCAACGCCGCGUGGAGGAUGACGCAUUUCGGUGUGUAAACUCCUUUUAUAUGUCAAGAAAAUGACGGUAGCAUAUGAAUAAGCACCGGCUAACUCCGUGCCAGCAGCCGCGGUAAUACGGAGGGUGCAAGCGUUACUCGGAAUCACUGGGCGUAAAGGACGCGUAGGCGGGUUGGAAAGUCAGGUGUGAAAUCCUACAGCUUAACUGUAGAACUGCACUUGAAACUUCUAAUCUAGAGUAUGGGAGGGGGAGAUGGAAUUAGUGGUGUAGGGGUAAAAUCCGUAGAUAUCACUAGGAAUACCAAAAGCGAAGGCGAUCUUCUGGAACAAUACUGACGCUAAGGCGUGAAAGCGUGGGGAGCAAACAGGAUUAGAUACCCCUGUAGUC